rnacentral:rRNA from 1 species
AUUGAACGCUGGCGGCAAGCCUUACACAUGCAAGUCGAACGGUAACGGGUCCUUCGGGAUGCCGACGAGUGGCGAACGGGUGAGUAAUAUAUCGGAACGUGCCCAGUAGUGGGGGAUAACUGCUCGAAAGAGCAGCUAAUACCGCAUACGACCUGAGGGUGAAAGGGGGGGAUCGCAAGACCUCUCGCUAUUGGAGCGGCCGAUAUCAGAUUAGCUAGUUGGUGGGGUAAAGGCCUACCAAGGCAACGAUCUGCAGUUGGUCUGAGAGGACGACCAGCCACACUGGGACUGAGACACGGCCCAGACUCCUACGGGAGGCAGCAGUGGGGAAUUUUGGACAAUGGGCGCAAGCCUGAUCCAGCAAUGCCGCGUGCAGGAAGAAGGCCUUCGGGUUGUAAACUGCUUUUGUCAGGGAAGAAAUCUUCUGGGCUAAUACCCCGGGAGGAUGACGGUACCUGAAGAAUAAGCACCGGCUAACUACGUGCCAGCAGCCGCCGUAA